rnacentral:misc_RNA from 1 species
AAGUCGUAACAAGGUUUCCGUAGGUGAACCUGCGGAAGGAUCAUUACCAAAUCCAAAUACCUAAACCCCAUGUGAACUAUUGUUUAGUCUGUCUUUGGGAGAAAGAUGAAAAGAGGAAAGGAAGAUAGUAUUUUUAAGGAGUUUUAUUCUCUGUUAUUGUCUUCUUUUUUUUCCUAGUAGUAUUUCUCCCAAUAGAGUCCGGCGCAAUCGUUUGGUUGUGUCCAGAUUCGAAACCCCUUUUAUAAAACCACUUGAUUUUUCUGUUGGAAUUUCUUUUAUUAAUUUUAAAUAAAAGACAACUUUUAACGGUGGAUCUCUUGGCUCGUG